UACGGAAGGCAGCAGUGGGGAAUAUUGCACAAUGGGCGAAAGCCUGAUGCAGCUAUGCCGCGUGUAUGAAGAAGGCCUUAGGGUUGUAAAGUACUUUCAUCGGGGAGGAAAAACAAAACUAAUAAUUUUAUUUCUUGACGUUACCCGAAAAAGAAGCACCGGCUAACUCCGUGCCAGCAGCCGCGGUAAUACGGAGGGUGCUAGCGUUAAUCAGAAUUACUGGGCGUAAAGAGCACGUAGGUGGUUUUUUUAAGUCAGAUGUGAAAUCCCUGGGCUUAACCUAGGAACUGCAUUUUGAAACUGAAAUACUAGAGUAUCGUAGAGGGAGGUAGAAUUCUAGGUGUAGCGGUGAAAUGCGUAGAUAUCUGGAGGAAUACCUGUGGCGAAAGCGGCCUCCUAAACGAAUACUGACACUGAGUGCGAAAGCGUGGGGAGCAAACAGGGAUUAGAUACCCGU
rnacentral:rRNA from 1 species